GACGGAGGGUGCUAGCGUUGUUCGGAAUCACUGGGCGUAAAGGGCGCGAGUAGGCGGCCUUGCAAGUCGGUUGGUGAAAGCCCGGGGCUCAACCCCGGAGGUGCGGCCGAGACUGCAGGGCUGGAGGCCGGAAGAGGAGGGUGGAAUACCCAGUGUAGAGGUGAAAUUCGUAGAUAUUGGGUGGAACACCGGUGGCGAAAGCGGCUCUCUGGUCCGGACCUGACGCUGAGGCGCGAAAGCGUGGGGAGCAAACAGG
rnacentral:rRNA from 1 species